rnacentral:sRNA from 1 species
CCUGUCCAUCGCUUUCCUCUGGGGCUUUAAUUUCCUUCAUCCGAUGCUCUAUGAGCAAGGGCUUGGAAAAUUCCGGACGGGCGUGAUCGUCUCGCGUCAGAUGAACCCGAAGUCCGGCUGACCUUGCCCACCUGAUUACCCCUGGGUGUUCAGGAUCUCGGCCCCCAGGAUUGCGGUGGACACCU